CUUGCUUCAGUGGUCUUGGCUGAACAUGUAGCAGAGGAGGUCCACUACCCGGUGACUGUAGCCGUAUUCGUUGUCGUACCUAGGGAGGGGGAAAUGAGCUUCACGAAGUUGUCGUUGAGAGCGAUGCUGGCUUUAGCAUCGAAGACGGAUGAGUGGGUAUUAGUGAGAAAGUCCGUGGAGACAACCUAGGUGUCAGAAUUUCGAAGCUCCUGCACCAGGGAGCCUAUUGCCAGAAGCUGGGCAAGUCCCUGAAGACAGGCACUACUGAGCAGUGGGGGUGGAGGGUGGGGGGGUGUAACUGAAGCCUAAGGCCACCCUGGGGUCAUCAGUGGCCAGUAGUUUACAUCAGAAAGGUAAGGAGCUUUUCUGUUUCCAAUUCUGUAUGUUUACUUGAAGUUUUAUCAAAUGUUUGUAUUUGAAACAUAUUAAACAUCUAUUAUUGCUGUUUUCUACUUGGCUAGUCUUUUCCCUCAAAGGGUUUAUCCACGACUGCAGUAUUUGCUUUUGUGAUGAUUUGUUAGCGUCUAUCUUUCUUCUAGACCACUCUGUGGCAGCAGGGCUGUUUCCUUUAUUAUUAAGUCUGAUCUCCUCAGAGGGGUUCAGUCAAUGUUUGUGGGUUUUUAUUUUUUAUUUUUUGAAUUUUUAUAAGAGUUUAUUUGAGCCAAAUUGAUGACAUUGCCGGGAAGCAAGAUCUCAAAUGCUCCCUGGGGUUAUUUUUUAUUAGCCGUCUUACACAUGUUUACUGAACACCUGCCAUGUGCCCGUUUUCUAAGUGUUUUAUCUGUACUGAACGCUCUUAACCCUCACGACCUGAGGAAGAACUGUGACUAUUGACAUUCUUCAGAGGAGCCAGUGCCAGGGCAGAGGUGAAGGGGCAGGAGGCAGAGCUGGCUGAGAGCACAGGCAGGCUGGCCUUAGGAUCUGUACUGGCUACCUUGCCAGAGUGAGUGAAUGAAUGAGUUGCUUCUCUUCUCCCUGGGCCACCACACACGGUUCUCUCUCCCUGGUCAUCUGCUCUAUCAGGCCACACUUUUUAUCAUCUGGCCCAACUAGCUCUUCUUUGAGGGCCCCUACGCCCCAAUUCCUGCUUUCCAAGCUGGUGGGGCUCUUCAAUAAAUUUCUCUGCAGUAAUUGCUGAGUUGGCAUGGGGCAAGGAGUUGGCACCCUAGGAGACCCCAGACCCUUCCCCUAGGCCGUCAUGGGUCCUGCCUUCCUGCCCAGGGAUCUGUUUUGAGGAUUCUAUUCAUUCUUCAAGGAAGUACGGAGUCUACCCAGAGCCAAGGCCCGCGCGUGCAGGUGCCAAAGCAACAGUGGUGACACAACUGCCAGGGCCCUCCCUGCAAGGAGGCUUCGGCUUUGUGGGAAAAUGCCCUUCCUGAUGCUCCCCACACCCCCGUUAACUUCGGCUGUGCUCCCCGCUAUAUCAUUGUGGGCGUGAUCGUCGUUCCCAUCAGCUACAUGAGGAAACAGGCUCAAGGGAGUCCAGUCCCUUGCCCAAGGUCACCUGACUAGAAAGGGUAGAGUGGGGUAAAGUACACACAAAAGCAACAUGGCUUGUGUUGAGUGCCUGGAGAACACACCUACAGUGCAGUAACGGAGACUGGGCAGGAGCGGGGAACAACCGCUGCAGUGCCCUGACAGGGCAGCACCCCACUGGGGGUGCACAUGGAGUGGGCAGCUGUGUGGGGAUAGGGAAGAGGGGAAGAAUGCCGUAAGUGGCAGCACUGAUGGUGCCCAGGCUGAGGAAAGGAAGGACAUGGUAUGUCUGAGUAAGGACCGCUGUGCUGGCAUUGCUUUAGGUGUGAUUUCAAA